CAAUAGCGUAUAUUAAAGUUGUUGCGGUUAAAAAGCUCGUAGUUGGAUUUCUGCUUGGGACGACCGGUCCGCCCUCUGGGUGAGCAUCUUGGUUCGGCCCGGGCAUCCUCUUGGGGAACGUCGCUGCACUUGACUGUGUGGUGCGGUACCCAGGACUUUUACUUUGAGGAAAUUAGAGUGUUUCAAGCAGGCCUUUGCCUUGAAUACAUUAGCAUGGAAUAAUAAGAUAGGACCUCGUUUCUACCUUGUUGGUUCGUAGAGAUGAGGUAAUGAUUAAUAGGGAUAGUCGGGGGCAUUCGUACUUAACUGUCAGAGGUGAAAUUCUCCGAUUUGUUAAAGACUAACUUAUGCGAAAGCAUUUGCCAAGGAUGUUUUCAUUAAUCAAGAACGAAAGUUAGGGGAUCAAAGACGAUUAGAUACCAU
rnacentral:rRNA from 1 species